rnacentral:rRNA from 1 species
UGAGUACGAGCGGCUACGGCCGCGAAGUGGAUGAUGUCAAGCUUCCAAGAAAAGCCCUAUACCCGUUAAGGCAUGAUGGCCUGUACCCGAAACCGACACAGGUGGGGUGGUAGAGAAUACCGAGGGGCGCGAGGUAACUCUCUCUAAGGAACUCGGCAAAAUGGCCCCGUAACUUCGGGAGAAGGGGUGCCACCGCGAGGUGGUCGCAGUGAAGGGGCCCAGGCGACUGUUUACCAAAAACACAGGUCUCCGCUAAGUCGCAAGACGAUGUAUGGGGGCUGACGCCUGCCCAGUGCCGGAAGGUUAAGGAAGCUGGUCAGCGCAAGCGAAGCUGGCGACUGAAGCCCCGGUGAACGGCGGCCGUAACAAUAACGGUCCUAGGGUAGCGAAAUUCCUUGUCGGGUAAGUUCCGACCCGCACGAAAGGCGUAACGAUCUGGGCGCUGUCUCGGAGAGAGGCUCGGCGAAAUAGAAUUGUCUGUGAAGAUGCGGACUACGUGCACCCGGACAGAAAGACCCUAUGAAGCUUUACUGUAGCUUGGUAUUGUGCUCGGGCUCGGAAUGCGCAGGAUAGGUGGGAGGCUUUGAUCCAUUGCUUGCGGGUGAUGGUGAGCCACUGGUGAGAUACCACUCUUUCCGAGCUAGAGUUCUAACAGCAACCCGUUAUCCGGGUGCUGGACAGUAUCAGGUGGGCAGUUUGACUGGGGCGGUCGCCUCCAAAAAGGUAACGGAGGCGCGCAAAGGUCUGCUCAGGCUGGUUGGAAAUCAGCCGACGAGUGUAAAAGCAGAAGCAGGCUUGACUGUGAGACCUACAAGUCGAACAGGGAGGAAACUCGGCUUUAGUGAUCCGACGGUUCUGCGUGGAAGGGCCGUCGCUCAACGGAUAAAAGUUACUCUAGGGAUAACAGGCUGAUCUCCCCCAAGAGUUCACAUCGACGGGGAGGUUUGGCACCUCGAUGUCGGCUCAUCGCAACCUGGGGCUGAAGUCGGUCCCAAGGGUUGGGCUGUUCGCCCAUUAAAGCGGUACGCGAGCUGGGUUCAGAACGUCGUGAGACAGUUCGGUCCACAUCCGGUGCACGCGCAGGAAUAUUGAGAGGAUUUCUCCCUAGUACGAGAGGACCGGGAGGAACGCACCUCUGGUGUGCCAGUUAUCGUGCCAACGGUAAACGCUGGGUAGCCAUGUGCGGAGUGGAUAACCGCUGAAAGCAUCUAAGUGGGAAGCCCACCUCAAGAUGAGUAUUCCCAUGGCAUAAGCCAGUAAGGUCACGGGAAGAACACCCGUUGAUAGGCUCUACGUGGAAGCGCAGUAAUGUGUGAAGCGGAGGAGUACUAAUAGACCGAGGGCUUG